GGGGAAACGGCAUUAUGUGCUUGCACAUUCUGGACGUCGACCGGCGCACGGGUGAGUAUCGCGUAUCCAACCUGCCCCUUACUUGGGGAUACCCCGUUGAAAGACGGCCUAAUACCCGAUGUGUUUCAUUGACGGCAUCCGAUAUGAAACAAAGGUUUUCCGGUAAGGGAUGGGGAUGCGUCUGAUUAGCUUGUUGGCGGGGCAACGGCCCACCAAGGCGACGAUCAGUAGGGGUUCUGAGAGGAAGGUCCCCCACAUUGGAACUGAGACACGGUCCAAACUCCUACGGGAGGCAGCAGUGAGGAAUAUUGGUCAAUGGACGUAAGUCUGAACCAGCCAAGUAGCGUGCAGGAUGACGGCCCUAUGGGUUGUAAACUGCUUUUAUGUGGGAAUAAAGUGGCGCACGUGUGCGCCAUUGCAUGUACCUCAUGAAUAAGGACCGGCUAAUUCCGUGCCAGCAGCCGCGGUAAUACGGAAGGUCCGGGCGUUAUCCGGAUUUAUUGGGUUUAAAGGGAGUGUAGGCGGUCUGUUAAGCGUGUUGUGAAAUUUAGGUGCUCAACAUUUAACUUGCAGCGCGAACUGUCAGACUUGAGUACACGCAGCGCAGGCGGAAUUCAUGGUGUAGCGGUGAAAUGCUUAGAUAUCAUGAGGAACUCCGAUCGCGAAGGCAGCCUGCGGGAGUGUUACUGACGCUUAAGCCCGAAGGUGCGGGUAUCGAACAGGAUUAGAUACCCUGGUAGUCCGCACUGUAAACGAUGGAUGCCCGCCGUUGGCGCCCUGCGCCUGCGGCC
rnacentral:rRNA from 1 species